AGUCAAGGUAAAGGUAUCUCUUUCUGGAGAUCCCUGCAUACCUGAGGUCUUCCAAAGCGUGAGCUAAUCAGGCAAUUUUAUGUAUGACAACGAACAACCCCAUCCUUGCAAUGAUUUUCUGCACUUUGGGUGCACUUGGCUUUGUUGUACCGUGCAGCACUUGAAGAGACAAUUAUCUCCGCUCUGUGAAGAAUGAGAUACAGAGAAGGGAUAGAAGUGCACAGUCAGUCUGAGUGCAUUAAGGAUUUAACACUUCAAUGGCCUUGAGGGCAAACCUUGCUACUUUGGACUCCACCCCAAGGCUAAGUGAUAAAGUAUGAAGUGGAGGGCAGUAUGAUUCCAACAGGGGUCAAAAUGAUGUCCUGGGAACCAAGAUUGAGAAAUUAGAGGAGAUGGGCCCAGUGCAGCCUUGAUGAAAUCUAGAGGAAGAGAAGAUUUCUGCUAUUGCUCUGCAGCAUCCUGACUGAGUUUGUUGGGAGCCAUGAGCUCUGGUGGUGUUUGCAGCAGUUCCUUCCUUUUAAUUCUCUGCAUGUGAGGAAUGCCCUGAAUGGCAAGCAGACUCUUCCCAGUAUGAAGACCCUCAAAGGACUCACUUGCAGCCCUGCUUGGAUUUGAUUUAAUAUGACAUUCUGAUAUUGCCAGGUCUGUUGUCUUUAUCUGCUGCCUUGUGAUAGCUGAAGACUUAAUGAGACCGUAAAUUUGGAAACAAAUGGUUACCUGAAAAUGUUUUUGUUUUUUUUUUUUAGUAAACACAUUUAUGAUUUUCACAAUAGAAAAGUCACUUUGAAAAUAAUUCAACUUUCUCUAGUUUAGUUUUUAUUUUCAGUCUCACAUCCAAUCUGAUUGUUUGGGAAGAGCAAAGAUUGGGUACUAAGUCACUUGUAGGGUCAGAAAGAAUGCAGCUAGAAUGAGAGGCCAUUCAGGUUCCUGGAGGGAAUUCUUGGGAUUUUGAAAAAUAAGUGGGUUUGUCAUUAACUGCCUUUGCUCACUUCAUAUUAUUUUAUUUAUGCUGCAGUUAUGUUUGUUGAUGGAUUGGCUACCUUGUCUGGCCAACUGCUUAAUCUCACUUUACCAAGUGUGGGUUUGCAGAGAUGUAGGAGCAGAUGGAUACCUUUGUUCCAGUAAAUCUUUU
ensembl:lncRNA